ACCUCGAUGGCUCAGUUGGUAGGCGGACUGUGGAAGUGCCAAACUAGUGUACUCAGUCACUGGUUCCAAUCCGGCUCGGGGGC